rnacentral:rRNA from 1 species
ACUGCUCAGUAACACGUGGACAACCUACCCUGAGGUCGGGGAUAAACCCGGGAAACUGGGUAUAAUACCCGAUAGAUCUAGAUCGCUGGAAUGCUUUUAGGUCUAAAGUUCCGACGCCUCAGGAUGGGUCUGCGGCCUAUCAGGGUAGUAGUGGGUGUAAAGUACCUACUAGCCUACGACGGGUACGGGUUGUGAGAGCAAGAGCCCGGCGAUGGAUUCUGAGACACGAAUCCAGGCCCUACGGGGUGCAGCAGGCGCGAAACCUUUACAAUGCUGGCAACAGCGAUAAGGGGACCUCGAGUGCUACGAUACAAUCGUGGCUGUCUAGUUGCCUAAAAAGCAAUUGAUAGCAAGGGCCGGGCAAGACCGGUGCCAGCCGCCGCGGUAACACCGGCGGCUCGAGUGGUAACCGCUAUUAUUGGGUCUAAAGGGUCUGUAGCCGGCUUAGUUAGUCUCUUGAGAAAUCUGGCCGCUCAACGGUCAGGCGUUCAGGGGAUACUGCUAAAGCUCGAGACCGGGAGAGGUGAGAGGUACUUCAGGGGUAGGGGUGAAAUCUUGUAAUCCUUGAAGGACCACCAGUGGCGAAGGCGUCUCACCAGAACGGAUCUGACGGCAAGGGACGAAAGCUAGGGGCACGAACCGGAUUAGAUACCCGGGUAGUCCUAGCCGUAAACGAUACUCGCUAGGUGUCGGCCACGGUGCGACCGUGGUCGGUGCCGUAGGGAAGCCGUGAAGCGAGCCACCUGGGAAGUACGGCCGCAAGGCUGAAACUUAAAGGAAUUGGCGGGGGAGCAC